rnacentral:tRNA from 1 species
GCUCCGUUAGCUCAAUUGGUAGAGCAUUCGCCUUGUAAGCGAAAGGUUAUCUGUUCAAGUCAGAUACGGAGCUCCA